rnacentral:rRNA from 1 species
GACGCUGGCGGUAGGCUUAACACAUGCAAGUCGUGCGAGAAAGUACCUUCGGGUGCGAGUAGAGCGGCGGACGGGUGAGUAACGCGUAGGAAUCUACCUAGUAGAAGGGGAUAGCCCGAGGAAACUCGGAUUAAUACCGUAUACCUCCUUAGGGAGAAAGAGGGCUUAGCUUUGAUGCUCUCGCUAUUAGAUGAGCCUGCGUAAGAUUAGCUUGUUGGUGAGGUAAUGGCUCACCAAGGCGACGAUCUUUAGCUGGUCUGAGAGGACGAUCAGCCACAUUGGGACUGAGACACGGCCCAGACUCCUACGGGAGGCAGCAGUGGGGAAUAUUGGACAAUGGGCGCAAGCCUGAUCCAGCCAUACCGCGUGUGUGAAGAAGGCUUUCGGGUUGUAAAGCACUUUAAGUAAGGAGGAAAAGAUUGUAGUUAAUACCUGCAGUCCGUGACGUUACUUACAGAAUAAGGACCGGCUAAUUCCGUGCCAGCAGCCGCGGUAAUACGGAAGGUCCAAGCGUUAAUCGGAAUUACUGGGCGUAAAGCGCGCGUAGGUGGUUUUUUAAGUUGGAUGUGAAAGCCCUGGGCUCAACCUAGGAACUGCAUCCAAAACUAGAUGACUAGAGUACGAAAGAGGGAAGUAGAAUUCACAGUGUAGCGGUGGAAUGCGUAGAUAUUGUGAAGAAUACCAAUGGCGAAGGCAGCUUCCUGGUUCUGUACUGACACUGAGGUGCGAAAGCGUGGGUAGCGAACAGGAUUAGAUACCCUGGUAGUCCACGCCGUAAACGAUGACAACUAGCUGUUGGGAGACAAGAUCUCUCAGUGGCGCAGCUAACGCUUUAAGUUGUCCGCCUGGGGAGUACGGCC